rnacentral:rRNA from 1 species
CAGUAGCCACGGGAAUACGGAGGGUGCAAGCGUUAUCCGGAUUUAUUGGGUUUAAAGGGUCCGUAGGCGGAUCUGUAAGUCAGUGGUGAAAUCUCACAGCUUAACUGUGAAACUGCCAUUGAUACUGCAGGUCUUGAGUAAAUUUGAAGUGGCUGGAAUAAGUAGUGUAGCGGUGAAAUGCAUAGAUAUUACUUAGAACACCAAUUGCGAAGGCAGGUCACUAAGAUUUAACUGACGCUGAUGGACGAAAGCGUGGGGAGCGAACAGGAUUAGAUACCCCGGUAGUCCCUGUCUCUUAUAC